AGAAGGUGUCCAUGAUGACAACUUUAAAAUACCAACAGUAGCCAGGAGCGUUGAAUUUACCUGCGAACGUUAUUUCAGCGAAAAUGUUUAUCGCUCGUUGUCGCGUCGAGUGUCGCCUCCGUUUGGAAAUAGCUUAGCCGGGCUAAGGCCAGCUAGCCAGCUAGCAUGAACUCGGGCCGUCGCUGCUUUUGUUUACAUCCAGUCCUGAUGAUGAUGGGCCCGGAGAGGUGUGUUAGCUAACCCCGCUACCAGAGCUGUUUCAGGGGGAAAGUGACAUUCUAAAGCCCGGAGGUCGACCAUCCAAACCGCCGCCACCUGAGGGUGAUGGAAGUGUCCUCACAGGAUCCAUCUCUCAUGGCUAUGGACCUGUCAAAGAGCUACAACCCCCUGACCCGCAGCCACACUGAAGCCAUGGACCUGGCGAAGAAGCCGGAGUGGUACCACCGACGCCCGCCGAGCUGCAACACAGACAUCACCUCCUCGUACAGGUCCAGAGCCUCGUCGUCCUACAACUCUCUCUCCACGCAGCCCGGAGCACCUGUCCACUGCAGAGACAUGGAGCAGAGUCCUGAGGCUUUGGGUAACUACAUGAAUUCAACACUAGCUUCGGGGCUGGAUAUGUACCAUGACAGAGUUCACAGCAACCUGUGGCAUCCGGGUUUCUACGGGCCUGACCAAAGCAGCGGCCAGGUUCCUGAAAGCAGCGGUGGAGAGGAGAGCGACAGCGGCUCUGAUGUUAUUUUCCUCGUUUCCUCAGCGAAGGAGCCACUCAUAUGCAGUUCUUUCAUCCAAGACAGCGUGAGGCACAUCGUGGAGCCUCUGUCCCCGGCCGUGUCCUCGCUGGAUGAAGGGAGAGGUUGCUAUCACCUACCUCAGCCUCUGAGCUCACCCAGUCCUGACAGCUCAUACUCAGAAGACUCCUCAGACAGCUCAGUGGACAUUCCUGUUCAUCACACCAGGCCUGUGGUCCUCCUGUCAGACCUCAGUGCCGUUUACGGCAACCCUGCUGAAUCUCCCGUCGAUAUUUCCAGCGAUGACAGCGACGUUAUCGAAGUUUCAGUCACUAAUGAGAAAAAGAAAAGCCACGCCUUUCCUUACAAGAAAAAUGUUCCUUGUAAGAAGAGUCUGGAGAGAGAAACUCCGGCUCAGAGAGAGGGGGAAAAGGCUUCGCCUAAGGAAGUACGACGUAGUACCAGAAUCAGAAGAUCUCUGACUGAAAUGCCUCAGUUUACCUGCAGUGUGUCUCGACACAGUUUGAGAAGACAGGUCAAAAACGAUGCCGUGGGUAUCUAUAAUGAAAGUUGUGAUUCGGAUGACAUGAUGGAAUACGCGGUGAGAUUGUCGAGCCCAGAGGCUGACGAGUCGGCCUCGCAGCCAAAUGUGUCACAAAGAGUGAGCAGCAAUUCAGAGGAGUCUGACGUGGACGCUCGGACAGAGAGGAAGUCACCGCAAAGGGACCAGCAGCCUCACUGCAAAGCUUCCUACAGGAAAAGCAUCAAACGAAAGAAGCCACUCGCCAUUUGUAAAACUAAAAAGUUAAGGAGAACUAAACAGAAACAAAAACACAGAAUCCCACCACAGCAGUACCAGAAGGCCUCAUCCUGCAGGAGCUCCUCAGUAAACAAAAAAACUGCCACAAGACGAAAGAGAAAAAGGCGAACUCAGAACGGACCUUCGGCUCUGUUUUCCCCCAGAGAGCCAGAAAUCAAGCUUAAAUAUGCAAAAAUUAAAGAGGAAAAAAAGGACAAGAAAUCAGGCGGUUUUUGUCCCUUUGUUCACAUGGAGCAGAGAGUGUGCACUGUUGUCAACUAUCAGGAAGAGGAGGCGACAGUACGGAGCAGCAGAGGACAGCAGCAGACAGCCACCAGGUCCCUGUCUGGAUUUGUUCCCAACACGUCCUGUUUCCAGCUGGGUCGGCUCAGCUCGGAGAGCAGAUGUCAGGCCACGCUGACGUGCUGCCUGUGCGGUCAGACGGCCAACGCCAUGGGCCUCGGGGACCUUCACGGCCCGUACUAUCCUAUCAGCUCGUCUGUGGACUGCCAGAACGGCAGGACUGAGCAGAAAGAGGAAGAAAACUUACAUGGACUCGCUAACAGCCAUCCAGUCGAUUCCUCAGAUGGUGGCUGUGAUGGUCGUGACCGCUCUGCUGUCAGAAGUUUGCGUGACAGCGACAACAACUCUCUCCCAAAGGUGCCUCUUCAACUGGAUGAGUGCUGGAUCCACGAGGACUGCGGUAUCUGGUCCGCGGGAGUCUUCCUUGUCAGAGGAAAGCUGUAUGGGUUAGAGGAGGCGGCCCGGCUCGCACAGGAAACAGUUUGUUCAACCUGCCAACAAACAGGUGCAAUAAUGGGCUGUUUCCAGAAGGGCUGUCCCAGAAACUUUCACUACAGAUGUGCCAUUCAGUCAGGCUGUGUCCUCAAUGAAGAGAACUUCUCAAUGAGAUGUACAGAGCACAAGAACAAACCGAGUGUAAACAGACAACACAAGAGAUGACGUGAAACGUGUGUGGGGGCACAGGAGGUAUGAGACAAUCAGUCCAUUGAUCGAUCAGAACAAUCCACAGAUCUCCUCAGGGUGCGACGAGAGCUGCCUGACUUCACCUCUGCUGUUUUAUAACACUAAUUAAUGUGUGUGCUCGAGCAGAAGGCAAACCUUCUGGUAAGAUUUCACUCGUCACGACAGACAGAUCAAACCAGGGGCCACUUUAGGAUUUUUAUGAGAAGUCUCGUUGUUUUGUUCUAUUUCUGUUCUUUCGUAGGUCUUUAACACAGGCAGUUACACCAAUUGGACUGAGCCAAGAUGGGGUGUGUGUGUGUGUGUGUGUGUGUGUGUGUGUGUGUGUGUGUGUGUGUUUGUCUGUGUCUGUGUGUGUGCACAUGUGCGUGGAAGUGUGUAUUUAUUCCUCCUCUUGAAGAUCCACACUUGGACUAGUUAAGUCACAAAUACAGUUUAUUAUUUGAACAUAAUAAUUAUACUAGAGUCUAAAUUAGCUUUAUUAAUUUGUUGUAUAGAGUAUAAUAUCUUUAUAUAAGGCCACUGCUUUUCUUUCUACUGUUUUUGUACUACUUUUCUAUUACUGUCAGUCAUCACAUAACCAUAAGAUAAUUUAUUUUCAUCGAGAUGCAUGCACAGUUGAUGUUCGCUGCAAAGCACUUUAUAGUAUAAUUUUCAGUUGUUUAUUUAUGUCUGUUUGUAGACUUUGUUCUUCCCUUUCUAAUACAGUUAUUUAAAUUUAAUAUAAAGCUGCACUAAGCAAGAUUUAUAUAUAUAAAAAAAAUGAAUUUUUGUCUAAAUCACAAAGUAGGGCUGCAAAAGAGAAUAUCCCAUCCACACAAACUGAGACCACAAACUGUACAUUCACCUUUUUAUUUCUGGUGUCAGGUUUAGAUGCUUCUCUGCAGACAGGAUGUGGAAACUUAAAACUGACAGACAGAACAAACUGUCUCAUAAACAGCAGCGAGAGUUCAGCACAGCAAAAGAUGCAAGUGUCAGCGUUCCGUGUUAUGAGCUGGUUAAAUUCUUCUGUAAUGCCAUGUUACAGGGAUUUCAGAAAAUGUAAAGUUUAAAAGGUCAGUUCAACCAAAUCACAAACAAAUCACUCACCCACACAGGCUAAUUCAGAUAGUUCUGAAGAAAAGGAUUUUGAAGAUGGAUUUUUUGAAUAGUUUUUUUUUUUUUUUGAGUAAGAAUGCCCAACGAAAAUACUGAUCCCAGACUCUCAAAUGUGAGGAUUUGCUCAUUUUUCUGUUUCAUAUUCAAUUUGACAAACAAUUUGAUAUGUCACUUUGAACUGAGAAAAUAAUCUACACAUGAAUCAAUCAAUUAAUGGAAAUUAAUGUAAUGGAAAUAAUUCUUAGUUGCAGCCUUGUUGGUUUUAUUUGCAGAGGUUUUCCCUCCAAGCACAAUUGGAAAAAUAGUUUUUUUCAGAUUUCCAGUUCCCAUAAUUUGGGAGAUAUAAACAGAAAUUAUAACGUUGCUAGUAGCCAGUAUUUGUUUACAUUUCGCUAAAUUAGCACCCAUGAAAGUAUGCUGAAUUAGCUGUUAGCAGUUCCUGUUCGUAGUGUGCCUAUGGACGUAUACACAACUGUCACUGAAUCACUCUGACAAUGAAGAAAAUUUCAUGACUUCCAGGGAAGUUCUGCCGUUAUAAGAAGCGUCUUUGUUUCUUUGAUUUCUAAGGGAAUUUAUGGGCAUUUAUAUGCGACUGACUUCAGAGCUAAUGGUGUCCUCGGGAAGUAAAAGUCAGGUUGAAUCAAAAAAUAUGUGUAUUAUAUAUGUGUGUUCAGAUUUGAGUGAGUUAUUGCGAUUUUUGGCGCAAACUGCAGAAAUUGGGCGCUAAGGUUUUUAAAGUACCUUAAUGGUUUGAAAAUUGAAAAGUGUGGAUGAUCCUCAGCAAAUAAAACUAAGAGUAACUGUAUAAUUUGAUGGCAAAAGUGGAGUAAGUUGGAAAAUGUGUUUUUGUGAUUUGCAUGAAUUGGCCCUUUAAUUUAUUUGUUACCUCUCAUCGCCAUGUGCAGCUGGAGUCGCCUAGUGUAGCUUUAACUGUCCGUCUUUGUAUAAUCUCUUGUAUUUCAGUUUUCAUGAAUCAUUACUGGACUGACAUGACGGAUGACAAACAGGCACUAAUUGUUUAAAAAGAGAGAUUUUAAGGAAAUUGUAAGAGUUUGGUUUCAUGUCUGCACUUUCUAUUAUUUGAGGAAUAAAAAGAUAAUUGUUAUUUAAUAAAAGUCAAUAAAACUGAA